GGAGAGAUGGCCGAGCUGGCUGAAGGCGCUCGCCUGCUAAGCGAGUGUGCGGGGAAACCUGCACCGAGGGUUCGAAUCCCUCUCUCUCCG
rnacentral:tRNA from 1 species